AACGAACGCUGGCGGCAGGCUUAACACAUGCAAGUCGAGCGCCCCGCCAGGGGAGCGGCCGACGGGUGAGUAACGCGUGGGAACGUACCUUUUGGUUCGGAACAACUCCGGGAAACUGGAGCUAAUACCGGAUAAGCCCUAACGGGGAAAGAUUUAUCGCCGAAAGAUCGGCCCGCGUCUGAUUAGCUAGUUGGCAAGGUAACGGCACACCAAGGCGACGAUCUGUAGCUGGUCUGAGAGGAUGAUCAGCCACACUGGGACUGAGACACGGCCCAGACUCGUACGGGAGGCAGCAGUGGGGAAUGUUGGACAAUGGGCGCAGGCCUGAUCCAGCCAUGCCGCGUGAGUGAUGAAGGCCUUAGGGUUGUAAAGCUCUUUUGUCCGGGAAGAUAAUGACUGUACCGGAAGAAUAAGCCCCGGCUAACUUCGUG
rnacentral:rRNA from 1 species